UCCGUAGGUGAACCUGCGGAAGGAUCAUUACCGAGUGUAGGGUUCCUGGCGAGCCCAACCUCCCACCCGUGUUUACUGUACCUUAGUUGCUUCGGCGGGCCCGCCAUUCAUGGCCGCCGGGGGCUCUCAGCCCCGGGCCCGCGCCCGCCGGAGACACCACGAACUCUGUCUGAUCUAGUGAAGUCUGAGUUGAUUGUAUCGCAAUCAGUUAAAACUUUCAACAAUGGAUCUCUUGGUUCCGGCAUCGAUGAAGAACGCAGCGAAAUGCGAUAACUAGUGUGAAUUGCAGAAUUCCGUGAAUCAUCGAGUCUUUGAACGCACAUUGCGCCCCCUGGUAUUCCGGGGGGCAUGCCUGUCCGAGCGUCAUUGCUGCCCAUCAAGCACGGCUUGUGUGUUGGGUCGUCGUCCCCUCUCCGGGGGGGACGGGCCCCAAAGGCAGCGGCGGCACCGCGUCCGAUCCUCGAGCGUAUGGGGCUUUGUCACCCGCUCUGUAGGCCCGGCCGGCGCUUGCCGAACGCAAAUCAAUCUUUUUCCAGGUUGACCUCGGGUCAGGUAGGGAUACCCGCUGAACUUAAGCAUAUCAAUAAGCGGAGGUCCUCCGCUUAUUGAUAUGCGGGGGACUUCCCUCUAAAUGACCAAG
rnacentral:rRNA from 1 species